rnacentral:rRNA from 1 species
UACAGAGGUGGCAAGCGUUGUUCGGAAUUACUGGGCGUAAAGGGCGCGUAGGCGGUCUUGCAAGUCCCGUGUGAAAUCCCUCGGCUCAACCUGGGAACUGCAUCCGAAACUGCCUUGCUCGAGUAUGGGAGAGGGAAGUGGAAUUUCCGGUGUAGCGGUGAAAUGCGUAGAUAUCGGAAGGAACAUCAGUGGCGAAGGCGACUUCCUGGACCAAUACUGACGCUCAGGUGCGAAAGCGUGGGGAGCAAACAGG